rnacentral:rRNA from 1 species
ACGAUGAAGAACGCAGCCAGCUGCGAGAUUUGGUGUGAAUUGCAGGACACAUUGAGCACUGAUUUUUCGAACGCACAUUGCGGCCUCGGUUGCUACCCGGGGCCUCGCCUGUCUGAGGGUCGGAUGAUGCUUACCUAGACCUGAUGGGUCACUUGGUCGAACCAGAUUCCGCCCAAAUCUGCCGACCUAAGUUCCGAUAUAAAGAUUUAUCGAACUUUUAAACCUUGUCGUGUAACCCUCUCGAUUUGGGCAAAGACCUCUGGCGAGGGAAGGCCGCGGGACACGCGAAUUUAUUUGCCGUACCGCUCGUUUUCCUUACUCGUCUAUAUAUAUAUUAUUAUGGCUAAGAAUAAAGAGUGUCUUUGCUGAUAACCAAAGGGAUGUGGUGACGAGGUGUAACGUUGUCGACCUCAGAUCAGACGAGACGACCCGCUGAAUUUAAGCAUAUCAAUAAGCGGAGGAA